rnacentral:rRNA from 1 species
CGCGAAGAACCUUACCAGGUCUUGACAUACCGUUGACCGUCCUAGAGAUAGGAUUUUCCCUUCGGGGACAAUGGAUACAGGUGGUGCAUGGUUGUCGUCAGCUCGUGUCGUGAGAUGUUGGGUUAAGUCCCGCAACGAGCGCAACCCCUGUCGUUAGUUGCCAGCAUUCAGUUGGGGACUCUAACGAGACUGCCAGUGACAAACUGGAGGAAGGUGGGGAUGACGUCAAAUCAUCAUGCCCCUUAUGACCUGGGCUACACACGUGCUACAAUGGUUGGUACAAAGAGAAGCGAAGCGGUGACGUGGAGCAAACCUCAUAAAGCCAAUCUCAGUUCGGAUUGUAGGCUGCAACUCGCCUACAUGAAGUUGGAAUCGCUAGUAAUCGCGAAUCAGAAUGUCGCGGUGAAUACGUUCCCGGGUCUUGUACACACC